UCUGCCCUUGAGAGAUAGCUAACCCAUCAGAACUCAUAGGUCAUUUAUGAUCAACUGGUGAGUCCACUUUUUCCGACAGGCCUCCAUCUGUCUGCAUUAAACAAACACAAUACUUAAAAAUCUCAUUUGGAUCUCUUCACAACAGCCUAAUAUACAUACAUUUGGUUCAAUGGUUUGGUUUAAAUGUUAGACAAAAAAUUGUAGAAAAACUGAAUUUAAAUAUUUAGUACGUAAUAUGUGCAGUACUUCCUAUAUAAUUUGGCAUGAUUGUGUAUGACCUAUGAACCCAAUAUCCACACACGACAAUAUGGCACCUGUUGUGUAUUUUGUUGAGAAAUCAACAGUGAGUCUGCAGUUAUAGUAUUUUAUUGCAUCAGCACCUAUAGUACCCCACCACUUUCUCUCUAUCUUUCAUUCUCUCUUUUAUAAGAGUUUUGUUGUAGGUUGUCAGUAAGUUUAUGAGCAGGAAGUCAUGGGAGAAGAUUUAACAGCUGUGUCUGAGCAUAUACGCACCAGCCACCCUGUAGCAUCAACUCACACCCCGAACCACCAUUUCUAUCACUACGUCCAGUGUUUAGUUUACCAUGCUGUCUUGCUAAGCCAGGAUAGACAUGAACUUUGACACAUUGGCAAUUAUCAAUUACAUAUCAUAGUAGAAUGUAUAUGUGGGUGUUUUAGAAAACACAGUAGCUUAAGAUGGUACUCGACCCUGAGCUCUAAACUUCAUUGAGCCACAGGAGGUUGGCGGCACCUUAAUUGUGGAGGAUGGGCUCAUGGUAAUGGCUGGAGCGGAAUGGGUGGAACGGUAUGAAAUACAUCAAACACAUGGUUUCCGUGUUUGAUGCCAUUCCAUUUGCUCCGUUCCAGACAUUAUUAUGAGCCGUCCUCCCCUCAGCAACAUCAUGUGCAUUUAGCCUCCAUUUGAAACGACUGCUCUUCGCUAAUGCCAUUUACUUUAUCACACACAGUGAAAAGAUCAUUUAUGUUUAAGUCCUAAUAAAAUAGUCUAUUGCAUUGUGUUUUUGUUUAGUAGGACACCAUAGUUUUGGAUUAGAUUUGGCCCAGUUGGAGGCUAUUUUACUGAAUCUGUCUCUGAUUAUGUAUCUCAUCUGCAGUAUUCAAUUGUGAUCAGUAGCUUGUAGUAACACCUCCUCUCCCUAUUCCUUUGACUAUUUUCUUACACACUUUUUUUCCAGUGAUGGAAGACUGGGGAUUCAUGAUUUCUGUAUGAUUUCAUGAUUUCUGCAUGAUUUCACCUUGGUGGGCCAAGGUGCCAAAACAAAACCUCAGAUAUAGCAGCCAAUCAAAGCCCCUAAGCUCACAACAGCAAACUCUCUGAUUGGAUCAAUUUAAUCAUCAAGUAAGCAACUGCUCCCAUCGGGCUAUGUUCCAAUACCCAUACUAACAUACUAUGUAGAAUGAAGCAAUGUAAUGGGCAUGCAUCCUAAGUGGUAUGCUAGUGUGGAUAUGGAAACACAGCCCAGUUUGGCCUCAGUCUACCAUCACAACCUUCAUCAUCUACUGUCCAGAUACCUCACUCCUACUCUCCUAUUCCUUCCUUCUCCUUUACUCUCUCCUUCUCCCUUGCUCUUCCCUCCCCUAUUUCCCCAUCUCCCCUUCUUUUCCAAAAGAGUCCAAGCAGAACGGCGACGCGGCCACUGCGGUCCUGGCGAACGAGGACUGCCUCACCAUUGACCAGGUGCUGUGUCCGGAGCGAGAGGGCGCCCGAACAACACGGGAACGCUACCAGCAGGGCCGUGCUUGCUUCCUGCUCAACACCAGGGAAUUCCGUGCCACAGAUGGGAAUGUGCGGAAAGAAAUGUUUGGCGAUCGACAAGAAAUGCAUGGAUAUGGACAAGUCGACCGCGAUCGGCCGGUUGGUGACCAGUGUGUUAAGUUUCUAGCAUCGGCCUUUUUGCUGAAGACAUACUGAGUCACUUAAUCAGAAAUUAUCAGAGGGAGCCACUUUACCAAGACGUGUGACACAGAUGGACAGUUAAAAGUAGGAUCUUUGGUGUGACGAGCAAUACCGGAGGGGACUCAAGAUGAACAUUAGGUUGAUCUUUAUGCUGUUACCAAAGCAGCCUCUUGGCAACUCCGACCACCCUUUUGAAGACUGUCCGACAGAUCACAAUAACUGACUGAGCAUUGCACAGAAAAGGACUCCUACUGCAACAUUCCAGAAGACGUUAUGUUGCGACGCUCAACCAUCUCAUACAGUAACAAAUAACCGACUGCCGUGCUGAUCUACUGAGUAACUUGGAGAAUCCAUGAAUUAUCACUCACAUAUACACGAGGGAGCAGGUCUAACUGACUUUGUAGCAUCUCUGCUAACACUGUAGCAUUUGUUGGUAGGGAAACUAUUGUCAUGACCUUAUCCAUCAACAGUUUGAACAGAGUGUGAAAAUACACACCGAAUCUCGAAUCUCAACUUUACAUGCCUUUUUCCUCUUGUGUUACUUACCUUUACAAGAAACUAUUGUACAUGAAAGACAAAGACAGGUUCCACCUCAAAAGUUUAUUUGUAAAAUGUGUAACAACAACUAAAAAGGUUAAAUGAACAGAGAACUGAAUUUAGACAUGUCUGUUCUCCCACCUCAUGAGUUCAUGACUUGUGGAGUUAAAGGCUUGAAUGAUAACCAAUCUCUAUGUAUUCCAUUCAAUUUGGAACAAUGAUCCCAGGACACCAACAUAUGUACUUAUUACACUAUGAUACAGUGCAUACUGUAUGUCGAUGACAAUACCAAAUGGAUGUAGCAUCAACCGAGAACCUAUUAGUACUAUAUAUAUAUAUAUAUAUAUAUAUAUAUAUACAAAAGUAUGUGGACUCCCCUUCAAAUUAGUGGAUUCGGCUAUUUCAGCUACACCUGUUGCCAACAGGGGUAUAAAAUAAAGCACACUGCCAUGCUAUAGACAUCUCUAUAGACAUUUCUAUAGACAUCUCUAUAGACAUUGGCAGUAGAAGGGCCUUACUGAAGAACUGUGACAUUCAACGUGGCACCAUCAUAGGAUGUGACCUUACCAACAUGUCAGUUUGUCAAAUGCCCUGCUAGAGCUACCCUGGUCCACUAUAAGUGCUGUUGUUGUGAAGUGGAAAUGUCUAGGAGCAACAACAGCUCGGUGGUAGGCCACAGAACGGGACCGCCGAAUGCUGAAGCGCGUAAAAGUCAUCCUCAAACACUCAGUACCAAGUUCCAAACUGCAUCUGGGAAAGGGGAUAUAUAGUCAGUUGUACCACUGAAUGCAUUCAACUGAAAUGUCUUCCGCAUUUAACCCAACCACUCUGAAUCAGAGAGGUUUGGGGGGGCUGCCAUAAUCAACAUCCACGUCUUCAGCACCCAGGGAACACUGGGUUAACUGC